rnacentral:rRNA from 1 species
UACGUAGGGUGCAAGCGUUGUCCGGAAUUAUUGGGCGUAAAGAGCUCGUAGGCGGUUUGUCGCGUCUGCUGUGAAAACCCGAGGCUCAACCUCGGGCCUGCAGUGGGUACGGGCAGACUAGAGUGUGGUAGGGGAGACUGGAAUUCCUGGUGUAGCGGUGGAAUGCGCAGAUAUCAGGAGGAACACCGGUGGCGAAGGCGGGUCUCUGGGCCGAUACUGACGCUGAGGCUCGAAAGCGUGGGGAGCAAACAGG